GUGUGGCUUUCAGUCUCCUCCAUGGCCUGCUCCUCAGGAAGGACCUGGUUAUUCUUCGUGUCCUUAAUACUGACAGGGCAGGAGGUUAGUCCAAACCAGCAGCGCCAGGUGGAGGUCUGGCUGUUGGUCUCCUCCAUAGACUGCUCUUCAGGAAGGGACUCGUUGUUGUUGUUCUCCUCAGUCCUGACAGGGCAGGAUGUUAGGCCUAGCCAGCAGCGCCAGGUGGAGGUCUGGCUGUUGGUCUCCUCCAUAGGCUGCUCCUCAGGAAGGCCUGCUUGUCCUUCCUGUCCUCGAUUGUGGUGGGGAAGGAGGUUAGGCCAAACCAGGAGUGCCGUCUGGAGGUCUGGCUUUUGGUCUCCUCCAUGGCCUGCUCCUCAGGAAGGACCUGGUUGUUCUUUGUGUCCUCGAUCCUGACAGGGCAGGACGUUAGGCCAAACCAGCAGCGCCAGGUGGAGGUCUGACUCUUGGUCUCCUCCACAGGCUGCUCCUCAGGAAGGACCGGGUUGUUCUUCCUGUCCUCGAUCCUGACGGGGCAGGAGGUUAGGCCAAACCAGCAGCGCCAGGUGGAGAUCUGGCUGUUGGUCUCCUCCAUAGGCUGCUCCUCAGGAAGGGCCUCGUUGUUC
rnacentral:lncRNA from 1 species